CAAAACUGUGUAUUUUUCAUGAUAUCAUAGAUCUAAAGCUAGAAGGUCCUCAGAAGUCCUCUAGACCAACUCCUCAUUUUAUCAAUGAGGACUAGGGAAGGACUAGGGAAGUAGUGACUUACCCAGGGUCAUAUAGGAAAAGAACAUCAGAGAAGGAUUUCAAGCUGAGUCCUUUUAGUUCCUGGACAAGUUCUCUUACCACUGUUCCAUGCUAAUUAGGAUCAUGGAUCCCCUGAAACCUCUCCAAUCUUAAGAGAAGAAGAUGGGCUCCCAUUUCACUUCAAAGUCUCAAUUAGGGACCUCAUCCAAAUGCUGCCUGUAAGAGAAUUUUAUUCAAUUGGAGGAAUGAGGAGAAAACCUUAUUGUAUUGUUUGAACCGAUCCCUGUGUGACUGGGAAGCUGGACCACCUGUACCUGCUAUUAGAGGCCCUUAUUCAAGGACCUAUAACAUGUUGACCAAAAAUGCAGUCAGAUACUAAAUCUGAUGUAAGGCUUUUUCUCAUAAUUGUACAUCUCAAAUAACUUAUAUAUUUUAUCUGAAAACCACCCCCAUAUCUCCCAAAAUGGAAUAAAUUAAUCAGGCUAAUAAUUCUUUUUUGGAGCAGGAUUAGUGGUAGGACCAAAUGAAAUAAGUAUAUGAAAAGUAUUUUGUGAAUCAUGAAGUAGCAUAUAAAUGGAAGCUAUUUGUUUGUAUUAUGGGGAAGGCUUCACAGAAUAAGUCCCAUUUCAGUUGGGUUUUAAAAGAAUAGAAUUGGAAAGGGAAGAUAAAGUGCUAUAUCUGGCCCUCUGAAAAGGCAAGGUAUACCCUAAUCAUAGAAGAAUAAUGGAAGGCAAAUCUUGGAAAGAAGAGAAUUUCACUGUUUGACCUCAGUGAUAGUAACAGGCAGAGAUGGGUCAUAAACUGGCAGAGCAUGGGAUCCACAUAGGCCAGCUGGCAACCACCCAUUCUUCUACCCUCAACCCCAAAUCAUUGCCUUGUUGGGUAAAAAGGAGGACAGUAGAAAGGAAUGAAGAUCUUGUACUCUAGGGAUGGCUCCAGCUACAGACUUCACCCCAGAGAUAAACUCCGCUGAUCAUCCCUCAGUGGAGCCUAGUGGUCAAGGGGGAGUCUCCAGUAAGAGAUUUUGAAUGGUUCAGCUCAAUCAUUCCAUGACCACUCCUGGAAAAGCUGCUGAGGCUCCGGCACCACUAAAGGUGGAAUGUCUCUGACAAAAUGAUCCAUCAUCACAUGAGCCAGGAAUGGCGUUGUCACAGUUGUUGUGGAAACCUGACCUUUGGAUUUCCUGAUUACAUGCAGCUGAAUUCUUCACCAUAUUCAUCCCCUCUUCCCCCCAGCAUGAUGGCAGUGUGGUCACAUUCCUACCUACUGCAUGUUAAUCUUUAACUUAGCCCUGCUCAUCUCCUCUCCUUUCAUUGUGAGUUAUGUGUCAAGGGAAAAGACAUACCAGGCAUUACAAGGGACAGGAUGGUCCAAAACAGCUACUUCCACUGGGAUAGGAGCUAGACUAUGGGCAGAAACUGAACAUUUAACAACCUUCUCCUUAAUCAAUAACCAGUU